GUCCUAGCGCCCGCCCGGUCCUUUUCCGGAGGUCCUGCCCCGGGUCCUAGCGCCCGCCGAUCUUUCCCGGAGUUCUUUCCACCGGCUUCUCCAGGCCGCUGGCUCUGCCCCGCUGGCCGCCCACGUGCUCUGCGCUUCCCCCUGUUGCUGAGUUCCGGGCAGCCACGAAAGUGACAUGAGCCAUACUGAUUAAAUAGUAACAUGUGAAGUACGAGGACUCGACAGGCCGAUGCUGACCUGGGCGGACCUGCGCUCGUCCACAGCCUGGGAGGAGACUCAGCCCCGCGCCCACGGCACGGAGCCCGGCCCUUCUACCCCUUCCUGCGAGCCUGAUGAGCCUCCCGGUUUCCAUCUGGCUCGGAUAAGGAAGCAUCUUUCUGCUGGCCGAGUCCCUUCAUCGCCCCAGCACAGUUUCCAGAACUCAGGGGGCUUCUGGAGCAGAAUUCUGGAACUCCAGGCUCGGUAGGAUGGUUAUGGGCGCAACGCUGUUGAAGCCACGCCAUCCGGAGUCUAUAACCAAGCCUAUCUGGUGGCGUGGUCUUCUCCUGUGAGGCUUUGAAGACUUGUGCUUUGUUGAAGAUAAAGCUGGCCUGUGGCUGAUUGCAGAUGCUUUCAGGGAAGUGAAGUAAAACAGAAUGACUAUGUGUAGAUGUCAGAGGAUUUAAAGGGGCCGUAAUUAAUUUAUUACUUAACGAUUUUCAAAAGCAAGAGAUCUGGUGAGAAUUCAUAACGAGGAGACUGCCACUAAGGAGUUUUGGUUGUUUCUGUGAUACAAAAACGAGAUGAGAAAGCCAAUCCAAAGUAAGUUUUAGACAAAAUAGCUACAGACAUAGUGAUCUACCAUAUUUUCAAAGGACCUAGAAAACACUGCAUGGGAUUUAUAGCAGUGGAUGAACGUAAUUCCCACAGAGAAAAAGUCUUGAAACAGACAUAUAAUAAUCCUGAGACCUAAUAUGCUGCAAAUAUACAAAUCACAUAGUAAGAAUAAUAUAUCAACAAUAUGAGACAGUUGUGGUAAGUCUGGAGUAAGUUCUACAUAUUUAUACAUUAAUUAGACUCCAUAGGCAAGUGAUGUAAAUCCUAUUUGAAAUUCAGAAGCCCAGAAGAUGCUAGAUUCAAAUUAAAGAAAUAAAGUUGCGACCAAGGAAACGUUUAAAAAAAUAGCUAAAAUUAUGACUGAUUACACUUCACUACUGUUGUCUAAUAUCAGAGAAAACAGCACCAGGACUUUCUAUGUUGAUGGAAACAUGUCAUGGGCAGUAAGAGCACUGAUAAGUCUCCAGGAAUUUCCCAUUCGGUGUACAAUUUCUGGAAUAUUUAUAUUAACGUUUUAGCCAUGCAAAUCUGACUUAGGGAAGCCUAGGCCUUUCCCCUCCUCCUCCUCCUCCUCCUUCUUUUCCUCCUCCCCCUCCCCCUCCUUCUGGCAUCCCUUCUGAUUUUCACCUCUUCCUGUGCAGCUCAUCAAUAAUAGCAUAUCAAAUAGCCCUGGUUCUCUUCAGUAUCUGUCUUUUUGCAAGGGGACAGAACGCAUCGUUAGGAUUUUCCAGGCACCUUCGGGGAAGUCUCAACCACAGGUGGAGGUGGAAACAGUACCUUGAAAGUUUUAGUUGACAUUUAGGAUUCGAUUUGGGGAAGGCAAAGGUUAAAACCGAUCAGAACAUUUGAACACUUAGGAGAGGAAACAAACCAUGAUUGCUGGAGAACUUACGUGGUUAUUGGUUUCAAAGUUACAAUAAAACAGUUAAAACUAAGCACAGAAGGUAACAUGACUGUAAACGACAUUAUUCUUAUGUAAGAAACCUUUGUUUUCUUCAGGAAGGACGACACACUCAGUGUAAACUAUAAAGCUUAUUCUGCUAAAAAACAGAAUAUUUGCUGUCGGAGAAGGUUACACAGGGGAAACAGAAAGAACCGGUCAUAUUACGGGUGAGGACACCGAGCAGUUAACCAAAGGAACAAACACAUCAAAGUGAAGCAGACCUUCCCAGAUUUUGGUAUAUUCCGUGGCUCUUCAAGCUCAGGUAUUCUAAAUGGGGAUAAAUAAAAUUAACCUGCCAGUUUUGCCCAUCAUUAUGUUCUUCUACACCCUGGGGCAAUCUGACACUGUCCUGGCUUCAGGAGUCCACGAGGUUGGCACUGAUUUCACACCACUGCUGAGAUGUUACCAACACGGAUUGUGUCCGACUGUGCGAUCUCCAAAUGCGCUAAGAAGUACGAUUUUUUAAAAUGCGUGUUGGGAUUGUUUGUAAUGGAACAAGCAUUGCCAGUCAGGUUCGUAUUUUAGAUACUUAAGCCUUCAAGAUGUAGUUUCUUCAAUUGUUUACAGUGUUUUUCAACUGCAGCUUUCCAGCGUAAAGGGCCCGUGAAAUCCCAGGCUUCUGACCUCCCUCCCGGGGGAACCAACUGGAACGCUGAAGAAUGAAACAAGGAACAGGAGGCUCUCGCGAUGUAAUUGAUCCUCAGCGUGAGAAGUGUUCUGCCCGUUCCAGAAUGUACAUGUUAGGGGCUGUGUGGUGUAUCGUGGUUAUUAGACCGCUGUGAACCUGGGAUCUGGAAAUAUCGUCCCCCGUUAUGUGACCCACUGGCCUGUUGAUGGAGGAACCUAAUGGCGGAUCCUUCCUUUUGUUAAGGGUUUGUCUUCCCCCCGCCCGGCCCAUGGUUUGCCCUUUUGAGGUUAGGCUUAAAGGGCCUUUCUCUGUUACUAAGUUAAAAACUGUUCUCCUCUCUCAACAAAAAAUGUGUCGAUUUUCUUUUU